CCUCCCUCUUGCUGCGUGCUUAACACAUGCAAGUCGAACGGAAAGGCCCUGCUUUUGUGGGGUGCUCGAGUGGCGAACGGGUGAGUAACACGUGAGUAACCUGCCCUUGACUUUGGGAUAACUUCAGGAAACUGGGGCUAAUACCGGAUAGGAGCUCCUGCUGCAUGGUGGGGGUUGGAAAGUUUCGGCGGUUGGGGAUGGACUCGCGGCUUAUCAGCUUGUUGGUGGGGUAGUGGCUUACCAAGGCUUUGACGGGUAGCCGGCCUGAGAGGGUGACCGGCCACAUUGGGACUGAGAUACGGCCCAGACUCCUACGGGAGGCAGCAGUGGGGAAUAUUGCACAAUGGGCGGAAGCCUGAUGCAGCAACGCCGCGUGCGGGAUGACGGCCUUCGGGUUGUAAACCGCUUUCGCCUGUGACGAAGCAUGAGUGACGGUAAUGGGUAAAGAAGCACCGGCUAACUACGUG
rnacentral:rRNA from 1 species